rnacentral:lncRNA from 1 species
AAAUCUUAUAAAUGAUUGAGUAGAAUAGAAAUACACGUUAUACAAUUGAUUUAAUCAAGCAAUACAUAGGUAUGCAUAAUGUAAAUAGGUAGAUUAUGCCAUUUUCAAUAAAACCCUACAAAAAUAAACUAUUUCAAAAUUUAAACUCAAGCUUAUAUUGUUUGUUUAAAGUGAGAAACAACACUUUAGCUUUGCCGAGUAAAACCUUUUUCCUGAGACUUUAGAUAAUAUUUAUCCAAGAAGGAAGUAUGAUGUCUCAAUAUAUUUUCCUUCAAUUCUCGAGAAUGGUUUACUCCAUGAGGAAAAGUUAUGGAUAUCAUAGAACAUAUACGUAGAGAUGAAAAUUGUGUAUAAUUUGAACAUGGUAUUAAAAAAGAAACGGAAAAUCAACAUGGCAAUCCUGACAAUUUGAAGAAUGGUUUGGAGGAGAACAACACUGUUAAGGUCAGCUAUUUUGGAGGCCUAAAUUUAAAAAAAGAAACAUUUUUCUAAUAAUGAAAAGCUCUUUUUCAUGAAUAUUAAGGAAAGUAGUGAUCUAUUGCAAUGUAUUUGGACGUCAAAAUGGGACCCUGAAAUAAAAGGACUUAAAACCUUACUGUCUAACACCAAUGUAUCCCUUUAAUGCCUAGUUUGAUUAUUUUCAGACACUAAUAUUGAUUAAAAUCAUGUUAUUACAUCGUUAUACAAUCUAUGGAAAUUCAAGGGAAUACUUGAAGCAAAUCCUCAGAAAACCCACAUCCUAGAAGCCAGUGGCAGUUGAGCGGUGAUUCCUUCCCUGUUCCCACACUUAUAUAUAGGACGUCAGAUGUAUAGUCUAUAGGUGCUGUUGUAUCUCAUUAUUAAUUUUAAAACAAAAGUACAUCAACAAACGAUAGGAAAUUGUAAUGAGUAGAACUCAUAAGUCAUAUGCAAUCAAUAGGAGUAUGAAUAUUUAAUUCUCUCCCAUUCCACUGUUCUUCACAAAGUAGGAACAUCUAAGAAUCUUCCCCAGGAUAGCUUCUUCCUGGGAUUCUGAAAGAGACAACUCCCCUCAAUUUACAUUCUGGAACUCCAUAUCACAGUUGGUAGACUGUGCUGGGCUUAGCCCGUUGUUUUGUGAAUGGAGUAGUGAUCUUUUCAAUACAUCCCAGAUCCCAGCUUUUGAUUUUUUGGAGGAGUGUCUUGAUUGUUUUUAGUUUUACUGGGGAUUCUUGUGAUGGGAAGAACUACGAACUUAUUGAGUCCUGUUGGUAUCUCCGACUUUACUAUAAACUCCAAUUCAUCCUUUAGGGCUUUCCUAGCAGUAAGUUGAUGAACUCGUCUGAUUUUCUCAUCUUCUUUUACAUAGAUUUUCAUUGGAUCAAGUUUCUCUGACUCAUUCAAAACAUGAGGAAACUCUGGAAAAAUGGACUUGACAUUCAUAAUUUGCGGGUCCCUCAAAGAGUUUUGGUUACAGAAUUACAUAUAAUUGUUUCUCGAAAAUAUUUUGGAAUAACGGAUAUUUUCACUUGCACCUGUAUUCGGGAGUGCUCUCAUAUAUUGUAAGACGGGGAGUGGAGUGCUUAAUGGAUGAUGUACUAUUAACAAUGCUUGAGGCUGUUUCUACAGGGCUAGAAUUUCUCGUUGUCCUUGAGUGAGAUUUGGAUUCUGAAUUAUAAUUCUGAUCAUCUACAAAAAAACAAAAAAACAUGACUUGUUCUCACACAUUUUGUUACAUGUGCUGUUUCGGAAUCUACACUCGGAGCGGUGGUGGUUGUCUCUUCUGCAACUGAAACAUCUACCAUGCUGACAAGGCAUUAAUAUUAAUGUAAACCAAUGUAUCUUGGAGAACGUCUGCAGACUCCCAUGCAGUGGCUACAUUUACAAGUCAUAGCUAAUGAGUUCUCAUACUAUCGGGAGGAGCACAAGCUCCAAUCACGCAACAUGUUGUGGU